GCCGUCGUCAGGCUGGGGGUGGCGCUGGGGCUCCUGUGUCUGUGUCUGGAGACGCAGCUGACUCCUGACAAGCCCAGACACGCAGCUGUUCCUGCAGAGGAAGCAGCAGCAGCGGGGGAAGGGCCGAGCGUUGAGGGAGGGGGAAGAGGGACCAAAGGACAUCAGAGUGACCGCGUGCAGUGGAGCAAGUGUGAGCUGAGUCCCAGUCUCCAGAUGAGUUCUGCUGCCAAUCCCAGCGGGCUGAGACACAGUGACUGCCCACCUGUCCCUGGGCCCUUCCCUUCCCCAACGAGCUUCUCAUUGGAUGUUCCCAGCUGGUAGGAUCUGGAGAAGGCUGGGGGAGCUGUCUCCAUGACCCCAGUGGGGGUGAGAGACAGAAGCUUCAUCUGGAGCCUGCCGGCUGGAAUUUUGGGCAUUCAUAUAGACCUGAGCAUCCUGGAACAGCCCUGAACCUGGGCAUCAAACUCCCCAGGCUUGAGAAUGCCAUUCACUUUAGCUGCCAAAGGAGCCCUUGGGAGAAGCUCCCUGAAGGCUCUAAUGCCAUCCUAAAGUAGAUUUUUGGAGGCUUCCAAAAGGUUCAAGAAGAAAAAGACCCAAAGGAAGUCCAGGACCCAGAGAACGCAACAGUGUCUCUCUUCCUAAUUAAGACACAUUCCUCUCAUUCAUGGACGUGCUUCCUUGAGGCCUCGGAACAAACUGGUGCGUCAAACAAGGCCUUUGGUACCGAGUGGUACAGGCUGCAUGAUUCCCUCCAUCAAGGAUCUGGGCAUGUUGUGAACAUUGGGAUCUGGCUGGGCAUGAAGGCUGCUAGUCCACACAACCCAAGCUGCAUUGGAAGAGACGGCCCACCCUCAAAGGACGUAACCUUCACCAUAGCCUUACAGGGCAUCCAAGCCAAGUCCGUGCUUGUCACCAAGGACAACUGGGGACCCAAAGAGAUGAAAUGACUUUUGAUGGAGCAGUGGUAGGGAGGGACUAGAAUCUAGAGUUUUUUUUUUUUUUUUCUUCUUCUUCUUAAAAUAAGUCUUGCUAUGUUGCCCAGGCAGGUCUCAAACUGGAUUUAAGCAAUC